CUGCUCCCUCCCUCAUACCCCUUCCCUUCUGCUUGCUUUUCUGGCUUCCCAGCAUCCCUGCUGGGCAUCCAUCCCCCUCCACAAGUUUAGGGCUUUCUGUGAGGGAGUCCUGGUGGCCGUGUGUGUCCAUGACAUGAAAUGAAGUUUCAGGACAUGCUCAGGAUGACGUGCUGGAGGAAGGCUUGACUUGAGGGUCUUGAGUGGGGUUUGUGUGCUGUUCUGCUUCUGGUUGGCAGUCAUAAGGACCCUCUGCCAGCAUACGAGCAACUGAUGCCCCUGAUGGUGCUGUGCUGCAAAGACCCUGGCAAGAGGGUGGUGAGGUCUGUGGAUGACCCAUCCCAGACCAAGUGGGCAUCCCAAGUUGGUGUCUGGAAAGGAUUCGGACAGCACUCCCAUGACAAGCUAUGGGUCCACCUUCCACAGGACCUGAAUCUAGAGAGAUGGGGCGGCAAUCGUGAUGGUAGAGGUAUUUGGGUCCAUAUGUUGACAUUGCCUCCCUCAUCCCAAUGUAUCCACAAGACCUAGAAUAGUGCCCAGAAGACAGGCGCUCCUCGGUAGACCAGAAUCCAUGUCUGCACGCAGGAAUGGGCUGAGAUCAUCCUCCGAAUCCCCCGCCCAGGAGCCCAGAGGCUCAAGCUAUGGAGGGGGAGGGGUGCUGAAGGCGCCUCUGCGGCAGCAUCUGAGGCCUGGAU